rnacentral:rRNA from 1 species
GCGGAGGGGUUCCACACGUACCCAUCCCGAACACGACCGUUAAGCCCUCUAGCGCCGAUGGUACUUGGACCGCAGGGUCCUGGGAGAGUAGGACGCCGCCAAGC